rnacentral:misc_RNA from 1 species
GUCAGUGAUGAAGAUGAUGUUGAAGAAGAAGAUGAAGGUGAACUCUCACAGUCUGGGAUUAAGCCCUUGUAUAACAAGGAUGACUUCUUUGAUUCACUCUCUUACAAUGCUGUUGAUAAUGAUCCUCAAAAUGGGCGGACUAGAUAUUCAGAGCAAGUAAAGAUAGACACAGAGACUUUUGGUGAUUUUCCGAGGUAUCGAGGGGGCCGAGGUGGGCGAGGUCCUGGACGUGGAGGGU